UCCCCUAGUAACUGCGAGUGAAGCGGGAAAAGCUCAAAUUUAAAAUCUGGUGGCCUUUGGUCAUCCGAGUUGUAAUUUAGAGAAGCGUCUUCCGCGCUGGACCGUGCACAAGUCUCCUGGAAUGGAGCGUCGUAGAGGGUGAGAAUCCCGUCUUUGGCACGGACUCCCAGUGCUUCUGUGAUGCGCUCUCGAAGAGUCGAGUUGUUUGGGAAUGCAGCUCAAAAUGGGUGGUGAACUCCAUCUAAAGCUAAAUAUUGGCGAGAGACCGAUAGCGAACAAGUACCGUGAGGGAAAGAUGAAAAGCACUUUGGAAAGAGAGUGAAACAGUACGUGAAAUUGUUGAAAGGGAAACGCUUGAAGUCAGUCGCGUCGUCCGAGACUCAGCCUCGCCUCGGCUUGGUGUACUUCUCGGCCGACGGGUCAGCAUCAAUUUUGCCCCUUGGAUAAUGGCGAGGGAAAUGUGACACCUUUGCGGGUGUGUUAUAGUCUCUAGUCGCAUGCAAGGGUCGGGAUUGAGGAACUCAGCACGCGCCUUCGGGCGUCGGGGUUCGCCCACGAUACGUGCUUAGGAUGUUGGCGUAAUGGCUUUAAACGACCCGUCUUGAAACACGGACCAAGGAGUCUAACAUGCCCGCGAGUGUUCGGGUGGAAAACCCGUGCGCGCAAUGAAAGUGAAAGUUGGGACCUCUGUCGUGGAGGGCACCAACGCCCGGACCAGACCUUCUGUGACG
rnacentral:rRNA from 1 species